AAAAGAUGUUACCCUCUAAGAAAGUCAGAGGUUGGUCUCCUGCAGGCAAGUGAAGGUAUCAAAGUCAGAGUAUUUGAGGUGAGGCAUCUUGACAGUGUGGUCAGGAAACUGGAAGCCAGGAUCCAGGACACAGUGAAGAAAGGAACCAGAGAAGAGAUAUCACCAUAGUCAGAGCUAAGAUUCAGCAGCUAAAACAGGAACUGCUGGAUGGGCAUCCGCAGUGCUUUGAGGCGAAGCAGCCCAAGAACUUGCCAGUCAAGAUGAAAAACUUCAUCUAAUGGAAUCCAGCUUGAAAGCAACUCAAGAGCAGCUAACUGAGCAAAGAGCAGAAAUAGUUCGUCAAGAACAGAACAGUACAAAAUCACAGGCAGAGCUGAAGACAGUGAGAGAACGUAUUAUUGCUUCUGAAGAAGAAUUUAAUGAUUUCAAGUUCAGACGAAUGAAGAAAAUUUAGCUGAUAUGCCAGAGAAAUGUUAACAGUCUCCAAAAUGUAAUUGCCAAAAUAUUGAAGACCUUGUCAAUAAAGAGAAACAGCUGGUGAUUUCA
rnacentral:lncRNA from 1 species